UGGGGAAUAUUGGACAAUGGGGGGAACCCUGAUCCAGCCAUGCCGCGUGUGUGAAGAAGGCCUUUUGGUUGUAAAGCACUUUAAGCGAGGAGGAGGCUACCGAGAUUAAUACUCUUGGAUAGUGGACGUUACUCGCAGAAUAAGCACCGGCUAACUCUGUGCCAGCAGCCGCGGUAAUACAGAGGGUGCAAGCGUUAAUCGGAUUUACUGGGCGUAUAGCGCGCGUAGGUGGCCAAUUAAGUCAAAUGUGAAAUCCCCGAGCUUAACUUGGGAAUUGCAUUCGAUACUGGUUGGCUAGAGUAUGGGAGAGGAUGGUAGAAUUCCAGGUGUAGCGGUGAAAUGCGUAGAGAUCUGGAGGAAUACCGAUGGCGAAGGCAGCCAUCUGGCCUAAUACUGACACUGAGGUGCGAAAGCAUGGGGAGCAAACAGG
rnacentral:rRNA from 1 species